rnacentral:rRNA from 1 species
AUACGGAGGAUCCGAGCGUUAUCCGGAUUUAUUGGGUUUAAAGGGAGCGUAGGUGGACAGUUAAGUCAGUUGUGAAAGUUUGCGGCUCAACCGUAAAAUUGCAGUUGAUACUGGCUGUCUUGAGUACAGUAGAGGUGGGCGGAAUUCGUGGUGUAGCGGUGAAAUGCUUAGAUAUCACGAAGAACUCCGAUUGCGAAGGCAGCUCACUGGACUGCAACUGACACUGAUGCUCGAAAGUGUGGGUAUCAAACAGGAUUAGAUACCCUGGUAGUCCACACAGUAAACGAUGAAUACUCGCUGUUUGCGAUAUACAGUAAGCGGCCAAGCGAAAGCAUUAAGUAUUCCACCUGGGGAGUACGCCGGCAACGGUGAAACUCAAAGGAAUUGGCGGGG